CAGCCGCCACGGUAAUACGUAGGUGGCAAGCGUUGUCCGGAAUUAUUGGGCGUAAAGGGCUCGCAGGCGGUUUCUUAAGUCUGAUGUGAAAGCCCCCGGCUCAACCGGGGAGGGUCGUUGGAAACUGGGAAACUUGAGUGCAGAAGAGGAGAGUGGAAUUCCACGUGUAGCGGUGAAAUGCGUAGAGAUGUGGAGGAACACCAGUGGCGAAGGCGACUCUCUGGUCUGUAACUGACGCUGAGGAGCGAAAGCGUGGGGAGCGAACAGGAUUAGAUACCCGCGUAGUCCCUGUCUCUUAUAC
rnacentral:rRNA from 1 species